UACGUAGGGGGCAAGCGUUGUCCGGAUUUAUUGGGCGUAAAGCGCACGCAGGCGGUCCUGCCAGUUUCGAGUGACAGGUGGUGGCUUAACUACCACAGGCCUCGGAAAACUGCAGGACUUGAGGGCAAAAGAGGGAUGCGGAAUUCCAGGUGGAGCGGUGAAAUGCGUAGAGAUCUGGAAGAACACCAAAGGCGAAGGCAGCAUCCUGGAUUGUACCUGACGCUCAUGUGCGAAAGCCAGGGAGCGAAGCGGG
rnacentral:rRNA from 1 species